rnacentral:rRNA from 1 species
UGGUGUCACACGGGACUGCCGGUCUUAAGCCGGAGGAAGUGGGAUGAUGUCAAGUCAGCAUGGCCUUUAUAUCCUGGGCUACACACACGCUACAAUGGCCAACACAAUAGGUUGCUAAGCCGCGAGGUGGCGCCAAUCCUCCAAAACCGGCCUCAGUUCAGAUUGUAGGCUGCAACUCGCCUGCAUGAAGUUGGAGUUGCUAGUAACCGCGCGUCAGCUAUAGUGCGGUGAAUACGUUCCCGGGGCUU